rnacentral:rRNA from 1 species
GGAGUGAACGCUGGCGGUAGGCCUAACACAUGCAAGUCGAACGGCAGCACAGGAGAGCUUGCUCUCUGGGUGGCGAGUGGCGGACGGGUGAGGAAUACAUCGGAAUCUACCUUUUCGUGGGGGAUAACGUAGGGAAACUUACGCUAAUACCGCAUAAGACCUUCGGGUGAAAGCCGGGGACCUUCGGGCCUGGCGCGGAUAGAUGAGCCGAUGUCGGAUUAGCUUGUUGGCGGGGUAAAAGCCCACCAAGGCGACGAUCCGUAG